GAUGAACGCUGGCGGCGUGCCUAAUACAUGCAAGUCGAGCGAACAGACGCGGCGCUUGCUCCUCUCACGUUAGCGGCGGGCGGGUGAGUAACACGUGUAUAACCUACCUAUCAUACUGAGAUAUCUACGGAACACCGGAGCUAAUCGCGGAUAAUAUCUUGAUGCGUAUGGUUCAAUAGUGAAAGACGGCUUUGGUGUCACUUAUCGCUGGUUCUGGGCGGCAUUAGCUAGUUGGUAAGGUCAAGGCCUUUCAAGGCGACGAUGCGUAAACGACCUGUGAGGGGGAUCGGCCACACGGGAGCGGGGACGCGGUCCAGACGCCUGAGGGAGGCAGCAGUAGGGAAUCGGACGCAAUGGGCGAAAGCCUGACGGAGCAAGGCGGCGUGAGUUAUGAAGGCCUUCGGAGCGUAAAACUCGGUUAUGAGGGAAGAACAAAUGUGGAAGGAACUAUGCACGUCGUGACGGUACCUAAUCAGAAAGCCACGGCUAACUACGUG
rnacentral:rRNA from 1 species